AUACCAUGAUGAGGGCACUACCUUAAUAAACUUUUGAAUCUCUGCCAUGCUUCAAAUAGCGAUUCUCCAUCUGCCUGAGCAAAACUUGUAAUUUACUUCCUCAUAUGUAU